rnacentral:rRNA from 1 species
CCGUAUGCAGGGGGACAACAGUCAGAAAUGACUGCUAAUACCGCAUAAGCACACAAUGCUGCAUGGCAUGGUGUGAAAAGAUUUAUCGGCAUACGAUGGCCCCGCGUCUGAUUAGCCAGUUGGCAGGGUAAUGGCCUACCAAAGCAACGAUCAGUAGCCGGCUUGAGAGAGUGACCGGCCACAUUGGGACUGAGACACGGCCCAGACUCCUACGGGAGGCAGCAG